GUAAUUUGACAUUUACAUUUACGGGUAUUGACACUUGGCUUUAUUUAUAUCAACAUUUUAGCUCAAAAUUAACAAUGUGGUACGAAAUUAUUCCCAGUUUUGGAAUUAUUGUUGUUGCUAUGGCUGUUCCACACGCUGUUUCGUAUGUAGCGAACAAGUUAGUGGUUGGUAAUUUCUAUCGUAGGGCAAUGUUGGAUAAAGAGGAAGCGUUGCAGUAUUUGAGGGACACAAGAAUUGCCGGUGAUCCAUAUACGCUAAAGGGGUUGGAGAAUAUUCCAGAUCAGUGAAGUGUAGAAUGUAGUAGUAAAUCAUGUAUAAAGUUUUAUUUAAUAAAAGCCGUUAAAAUUU